UACGGGGGGAGCAAGCGUUGUUCGGAUUUACUGGGCGUAAAGGGCGCGUAGGCGGUCGUGACAAGUCACUUGUGAAAUCUCCGGGCUUAACUCGGAACGGUCAAGUGAUACUGUCGGACUAGAGUACAGAAGGGGCAACUGGAAUUCUCGGUGUAGCGGUGAAAUGCGUAGAUAUCGAGAGGAACACCUGCGGCGAAGGCGGGUAGCUGGGCCGACACUGACGCUGAGGCGCGACAGCGUGGGGAGCAAACAGG
rnacentral:rRNA from 1 species